rnacentral:rRNA from 1 species
GACGAAGGGGGCUAGCGUUGUUCGGAAUUACUGGGCGUAAAGCGCGUGUAGGCGGUUGUUCAAGUCAGGUGUGAAAGCCUUGGGCUCAACUCAAGAAAUGCACUUGAUACUGGAUGACUAGAGGACCGGAGAGGAUAGUGGAAUUCCCAGUGUAGUGGUGAAAUACGUAGAGAUUGGGAAGAACACCAGUGGCGAAGGCGGCUAUCUGGACGGUUUCUGACGCUAAGACGCGAAAGCGUGGGGAGCAAACAGG